rnacentral:tRNA from 1 species
GUUGUUGUGGCCGGGUGGUUAAGGCGAUGUACUAGAAAUCCAUUGGGCUCUGCCCGCACAGGUUCGAAUCCUUCCGACUACG